AAUAUCCUAAUGAUUAUACUAGCAUCAAAUAGUCUCAAGUAGUUCAACUACAGAUCGAUUGGAAUGAAAACAUAACAAUAAGUGCAAAUCAGAUGAAAGCACAACAGAGCAGCGACGAUGUGUAUCAGAAAUAGCUUCUUCAUUUCACUUUAGGGUUGGAGAUCUACAUCAUAUGGAAUUCAGGGCGUGCCUGAGAUUGAAAUUCAAGAGUUAAGAAGUAAUGAAGAUCAGCCGAAGUAAUAGUGAAUCACAGCUCAACUUCAACUCAGCAAAUUGAUUUCAAAUCCAAAAACACACAGGAAUCAACAGUAACUAGUCAGAUACCACCAGCAGCAAUGAAAAUCAAACACGAUUGAAACCUAGUGUUUUCGAAAUCAACAGUCAGUGUAUUCAAAAUUAACCUGAAAUCCCUUGAGCUUGAAGCGAAUAAGACUUUGCUGAUGCGGAACUCGACCUAGAGCUAACUUCAGCUAGAUUUCUCCAAUAUUUUUCAAUGGAACAAGAAUCUAUGGAGGGUUAACUAUUUUUUUAUGGUUUUCUAUUUUGCAUAUUUUUUUUGAUUUCAAUUUUGAAUUUGCAAAACAAAAAAACUGAAAGAGAUGUAGGGUUUUAGGGGGAAUUCUCU
rnacentral:lncRNA from 1 species